rnacentral:rRNA from 1 species
UACGUAGGUGGCAAGCGUUGUCCGGAAUUAUUGGGCGUAAAGCGCGCGCAGGCGGUCCUUUAAGUCUGAUGUGAAAGCCCACGGCUCAACCGUGGAGGGUCAUUGGAAACUGGGGGACUUGAGUGCAGGAGAGAAGAGUGGAAUUCCACGUGUAGCGGUGAAAUGCGUAGAGAUGUGGAGGAACACCAGUGGCGAAGGCGACUCUUUGGCCUGUAACUGACGCUGAGGCGCGAAAGCGUGGGGAGCGAACAGG